rnacentral:rRNA from 1 species
GACGAACCGUGCGAACGUUGUUCGGAAUCACUGGGCUUAAAGGGCGCGUAGGCGGACCGGCGAGUCAGGGGUGAAAGCCCGCGGCCCAACCGCGGAAGUGCCCCUGAUACCGCCGGCCUUGAGGGGGAUAGGGGCGUGCGGAACUUCGGGUGGAGCGGUGAAAUGCGUAGAUAUCCGAAGGAACACCGGUGGCGAAGGCGGCACGCUGGGUCACUACUGACGCUGAGGCGCGAAAGCCAGGGGAGCGAACGGG